UGGGCAACCUGCCCCAGACACAGGGAUAACCCCGGGGAAAACCGGGGCUAAUACCGGAUACUCCGGUCGAGCCGCAUGACUCGAUCGGGAAAGCUCCGACGGUCUGGGAUGGGCCCGCGGCCUAUCAGCUUGUUGGUGGGGUAAUGGCCUACCAAGGCGACGACGGGUAGCCGGCCUGAGAGGGCGACCGGCCACACUGGGACUGAGACACGGUCCAGACUCCUACGGGAG
rnacentral:rRNA from 1 species